rnacentral:rRNA from 1 species
CGGACGGGUGAGUAACGCGUGAGAAUCUGCCCUCAGGAGGGGGGUAACGGUUGGAAACGACCGCUAAUACCCCAUAUGCCUAUUGGUGAAAUGAAUUUCGCCUGAGGAUGAGCUCGCGUCUGAUUAGCUAGUUGGUGAGGUAAUGGCUCACCAAGGCUUCGAUCAGUAGCUGGUCUGAGAGGAUGAUCAGCCACACUGGGACUGAGACACGGCCCAGACUCCUACGGGAGGCAGCAGUGGGGAAUUUUCCGCAAUGGGCGAAAGCCUGACGGAGCAACGCCGCGUGAGGGACGAAGGCCUCUGGGCUGUAAACCUCUUUUCUCAAGGAAGAAGAUAUGACGGUACUUGAGGAAUAAGCCACGGCUAAUCCCGUGCCAGCAGCCGCGGUAAUACGGGAGUGGCAAGCGUUAUCCGGAAUUAUUGGGCGUAAAGCGUCCGCAGGCGGCUUUUCAAGUCUGCUGUUAAAGCGUGGAGCUUAACUCCAUCAUGGCAGUGGAAACUGAAAGGCUUGAGUAUGGUAGGGGCAGAGGGAAUUCCCGGUGUAGCGGUGAAAUGCGUAGAUAUCGGGAAGAACACCAGUGGCGAAGGCGCUCUGCUGGGCCAUUACUGACGCUCAUGGACGAAAGCCAGGGGAGCGAAUGGGAUUAGAUACCCCAGUAGUC